rnacentral:lncRNA from 1 species
GUAAGUCCCAUCAUGUCUAUGGACUUCAGUUUCCAGACAUGAAACACAAGAGGCUUGGACGAGAUUAGAAAUCAAGAACUCGAAUGCGUAUGGUCAGAGCCACGAGAGUUUCCAUAAAGGAACACAACCAUGUGGACAACUUGAUUAUGCCCUACAAAACUGAAUUCCUGUGAGCAUUCCUCUUCAAGAUGGAAGAAAAAGGGAAUAUUUCACAACCCCAAUGGUGAAACGUCUGCCUAUAGCCAACAAUACAAUCU